rnacentral:rRNA from 1 species
UGGGGAAUAUUGGACAAUGGGGGCAACCCUGAUCCAGCGAUGCCGCGUGUGCGAAGAAGGCCUGCGGGUUGUAAAGCACUUUAGUUGGGGAAGAAAGGCUAUCUUUCGAAUAGGGAGGUAGUUUGACGUUACCCAAAGAAUAAGCACCGGCUAACUCUGUGCCAGCAGCCGCGGUAAUACAGAGGGUGCGAGCGUUAAUCGGAAUUACUGGGCGUAAAGGGCGCGUAGGCGGUUGUAUAAGUUAGAGGUGAAAUCCCCGGGCUUAACCUAGGAACGGCCUUUAAGACUGUACGGCUAGAGUAGUGUAGAGGGGAGUGGAAUUUCCGGUGUAGCGGUGAAAUGCGUAGAUAUCGGAAAGAACACCAGUGGCGAAGGCGGCUCCCUGGACACAUACUGACGUUGAGGCGCGAAAGCAUGGGUAGCAAACAG